rnacentral:rRNA from 1 species
UACAGAGGUCUCAAGCGUUGUUCGGAAUCACUGGGCGUAAAGGGUGUGUAGGCUGCGUGUUAAGUCAGAUGUGAAAUCCCGGGGCUCAACCUCGGAACUGCAUCCGAUACUGGCAUGCUAGAGAAUUGGAGAGGAGUCUAGAAUUCACGGUGUAGCAGUGAAAUGCGUAGAUAUCGUGAGGAAUACCAAGUGCGAAGGCAGGGCUCUGGACAUUUUCUGACGCUGAGACACGAAGGCUAGGGGAGCAAACGGG